GAGGAUAUAGCUCAGUGGUAGAGCAUGUGCUUAGCAUGCACAAGGUCCUGGGUUCAAGCCCCAGUACCUCCA
rnacentral:tRNA from 1 species